UACGAAGGGGGCUAGCGUUGCUCGGAAUCACUGGGCGUAAAGGGUGCGUAGGCGGGUCUUUUAAGUCAGGGGUGAAAUCCUGGAGCUCAACUCCAGAACUGCCUUUGAUACUGAGGAUCUUGAGUUCGGGAGAGGUGAGUGGAACUGCGAGUGUAGAGGUGAAAUUCGUAGAUAUUCGCAAGAACACCAGUGGCGAAGGCGGCUCACUGGCCCGAUACUGACGCUGAGGCACGAAAGCGUGGGGGAGCAAACAGGGA
rnacentral:rRNA from 1 species